UUUCCUACGGGGCGCAGCAGUGAGGAAUAUUGGUCAAUGGCCGAGAGGCUGAACCAGCCAAGUCGCGUGAGGGAAGAAUGUCCUAUGGAUUGUAAACCUCUUUUGUCAGGGAGCAAAGUCACCCACGUGAGGGUGUUGGAGAGUACCUGAAGAAAAAGCAUCGGCUAACUCCGUGCCAGCAGCCGCGGCAAUACGGAGGAUGCGAGCGUUAUCCGGAUUUAUUGGGUUUAAAGGAUGCGUAGGCGGGGUAUCAAGUCAGCGGUAAAUUCGGGGAGCUCCA
rnacentral:rRNA from 1 species